rnacentral:rRNA from 1 species
GUGGGGAAUCUUGGACAAUGGGCGAAAGCCUGAUCCAGCCAUGCCGCGUGAAUGAUGAAGGCCCUAGGGUUGUAAAAUUCUUUCGACGGGGAAGAUAAUGACGGUACCCGUAGAAGAAGCUCCGGCUAACUUCGUGCCAGCAGCCGCGGUAAUACGAAGGGGGCUAGCGUUGUUCGGAAUUACUGGGCGUAAAGCGCACGUAGGCGGAUCGAUAAGUAAGGGGUGAAAUCCCAGAGCUCAACUCUGGAACUGCCUUUUAGACUGUCGAUCUGGAGCAGAGUAGAGGUGAGUGGAAUUCCGAGUGUAGAGGUGAAAUUCGUAGAUAUUCGGAGGAACACCAGUGGCGAAGGCGGCUCACUGGACUCUUGCUGACGCUGAGGUGCGAAAGCGUGGGGAGCAAACAGGAUUAGAAACCCCAGUAGUCC